rnacentral:rRNA from 1 species
GUGUCAGCCGCCGCGGUAAGACGAGGGAUCCUAGCGUUGUUCGGAAUCAUUGGGCGUAAAGCGGAUGUAGGUGGCUUUGUAAGUCGGGUGUGAAAGCCCAGGGCUCAACCCUGGAAGUGCAUUCGAUACUGCGAAGCUUGAGUGCUAGAGAGGUUACUAGAAUACCUGGUGUAGUGGUGAAAUACGUAGAUAUCAGGUGGAAUACCGGAGGCGAAGGCGGGUAACCAGCUAGACACUGACACUCAGAUCCGAAAGUGUGGGGAUCAAACAGGAUUAGAUACCCGAGUAGUCC